ensembl:snRNA U6 U6 spliceosomal RNA
GUACUUACUUCAGCAGCACAUAUACUAAAAUUGGAAUGAUAAAGAGAUUAGCAUGACCCCUGUGCCUGUGAAAAAUUCCAUAUUUUU